rnacentral:rRNA from 1 species
GACGAACGCUGGCGGCGUGCCUAAUACAUGCAAGUUGAGCGCUGAAGGUUGGUUCUUGUACCAACUGGAUGAGCAGCGAACGGGUGAGUAACGCGUGGGGAAUCUGCCUUUGAGCGGGGGACAACAUUUGGAAACGAAUGCUAAUACCGCAUAAAAACUUUAAACACAAGUUUUAAGAUUGAAAGAUGCAAUUGCAUCACUCAAAGAUGAUCCCGCGUUGUAUUAGCUAGUUGGUGAGGUAAAGGCUCACCAAGGCGAUGAUACAUAGCCGACCUGAGAGGGUGAUCGGCCACAUUGGGACUGGGACACGGCCCAAACUCCUACGGGAGGCAGCAGUAGGGAAUCUUCGGCAAUGGACGAAAGUCUGACCGAGCAACGCCGCGUGAGUGAAGAAGGUUUUCGGAUCGUAAAACUCUGUUGGUAGAGAAGAACGUUGGUGAGAGUGGAAAGCUCAUCAAGUGACGGUAACUACCCAGAAAGGGACGGCUAACUACGUG